CCUAGUUGAUCCUGCCAAUAGUCAUAUGCUUGUCUAAAAGAUUAAGCCAUGUAUGUGUAAGUUUGAACUAAUUCGAAUAUGAAACUAUGAAUGGCUCAUUAAAUCAGUUAUAGUUUUGUUUGAUGAUAUCUACUAUUUAAAUAAUCAUAGUAAUUCUAGAGCUAAUAUGUGCAACAAACCCCAACUUCUAAAAAAGAUGCAUUUAUUAGAUAAAGGGUCGACGUUGGCUUUGCUCGUUGCUCUGAUGAUUCAUGAUAACUUAAUGAAUCUCAUGGCCUUUAUGUCAUUAAUGCAUCAUUCAAAUUUCUACCCUAUCAACUUUUGAUAAUAAGAUAGUGACCUACUAUGAUGGUGAUAGGUGACGGAGAAUUAGGGUUUGAUUCUAGAGAAGGAGCCUAUGAAAUGGCUACCACAUCUAAAAAAGGUAGCAUGCAUGUAAAUUACCUAAUCCUGACAUAGGGAGGUAGUGACAAUAAAUAACAAUAUUGGCUCUAUGAGUCUAGUAAUUGGAAUGAGUACAAUCUAAAUCUCUUACUAAGGAUCCAUUGUAGGGCAAGCCUGGUGCCAGUGGUCACAGUAAUUUUAGCUCCAAUAGUGUAUAUUUAAGUUAUUACAGUUAAAAAGCUCAUAGUUAGAACUAUGGUUGGGUUAUCUAAUCCGCCUCACGAUAAGCACCAGUCUACUUAUCCUAACUAUCAAUGAUGUUUUCUUGGCCUAAACUAGUCAAAUCGUUCCCUUGACACUAUAUCUUUGAAGAACUUAGAGUGGUCAAAGUAGGCCUAGGCUUGUAUACAUUAGCUUGGGAUAACAUUAUAGGGUUUUGGUUUUAUUGUGUUGGCCUUCAGGAUUAAAGUAAUGAUUAAUAGGGAUAUCAAGGGGAUUCGUAUUUCAUAGUUAGAGGUAAAAUUCUUGGAUUUAUGAAAGAUGAACAAUUGCGAAAGCAUUUGCCAAGAUGUUUUCAUUAAUCAGGAAUAAAAGUUUAGGGCUUAAAGAUGAUUAGAUUUGUUCUAGUCUCGACCAUAAAUGAUGCCAACCAAGGAUCAAUGGAUGUUACUUUUAGGACUUUGCUAGCACUUUAUGAGAAAUCAAAGUCUUUGGGUUUCGAGGGGAGUAUGGUUGCAAUGCUGAAACUAAAAGAAAUUAAUAGAAGGGUACCACCAAGAGUGGAGCCUGCAGCUUAAUUUGACCAAUACGAGGAAACUUACUAGGUCUAGACAUAGUAACGAUUAAUAGACUGAAAGCUCUUUCUUGAUUCUUGGAGGUGCAUGGCCAUUCUUAGUUGGCGGAGCGAUUUGUCUAGUUAAUUCUAUUAACGAAUAAGACCUCAGCUUGCUAACUAGCUACGUAGAGGUGAUCCUUUGUGGCUAGCUUCUUAAAGAGACUAUGGCCACUUAGGCUAAAGAAGUUUGAGGUAAUAAAGGGUCUGUGAUGCUAUUAGAUGUUUUGGAUCACACACACACUACACUGAUGUAUUCAAUGAGUCUAUAGCCUAGGUUGACAGGCCCGAGUAAUCUUUGAAAUUUCAUUGUGAUGGGGAUAGAUCAUUGUAAUUAUUGGUCUUCAAUGAGGAAUUCUUAGUAAGUGCAAGUCAUGAGCUCACAUUGAGUAUGUCCCAGCCCUUUGUACACAUUGCUCACUAUUCUUACUAAUUGAAUGGUCUAGUGAAGUGUUCGGAUCAUGGUGACAGGAUGAUUCACUGCUUGUGACAUUGUGAGAAGUUCACUAAACCUUAUCAUUUAGAGGAAGGAGAAGUUGUAAUAAGGUUUUUAUAGGUGAACUUGUGGAAG
rnacentral:rRNA from 1 species